AAAAUUAGCACCAAAAUUAUUUCAAUAGUUUUGUAAUCUCAACUUUGGCAUUCAAGAUUGGAUAAUAUAUUUUGACAAGUUUCACAAGAAAUUCGGCCAACCCCAUGUUUAUGGUUCCUCCCAUGAUGUCGCAUGUCAAAAGUGAUUUCUGCCUUUCAAGUUUUGCCGCCAAAACGUUUGACGCAAUUUGCAUAUUAUUCGCAAUAGAUUGGCGCCCCAGCUUCUGGGAGGCAGCAGCACAAAAAAAUUGAACCAGGGUUAUGUAGAGGCCAUGCGACACAUUUUACAAUGUUUGCCACAUUUGAUUGAUUUGUUUUGCCAGCCAUUGGCUGUGGCGCCAGAUUUUUAAGAGGGAAUCACAUAAUUGGGGACAAGGUCUACUGGGAUGCGGAAAGAUUUUUUGCAGCUGUUUUGCAUUUUCACACAUUUGAUUCAUUAGGCAAUAUAAUCAGUUUUUUUUUUUUUGGGGAAGGAGGAGACUCCAUUUGGUUUCUAUUUGAGGCGUCAGUCACAAGACCAAAUGGAAAACAUAACCCGAAAAUUCCAAUGAUAAAUGACAAUCCAAAAUGAUAGAAUUCUCUAGGCGAGAAACGAUGCAUUUUUUCUCAUGGCCCGAAAGAAAGUUGUACUGCGUUUGCUGAUGAUGAUUAGCCAAAGGUCGUGGAGCAUUAUGCAAUAUUCUGUAGGAACUGAAGUGAAAGUUUCCCUGCACUUUCGGUUUUUCUUGUUUCCUAUAGCGGGUGAAAACAUUUGCCCCCAACCGAGCAUCAUAUUCAUGAUCAUCACAUCACCAUCUCCCCAGCACCACCGACACCAUCACCUUACCACCGAGUGAUCCCAAAUGCCUAAAGAGAUCUUUAUCCGAGAAUGUUGUGUGGGCAGAGUGAGGCUCUUGAGCUGGAGCUUGAGCCCGAUACUUUGGAGAUGGCUUAUUAAAAAUUCUAAUCACAUGCAAUCACCACGGGUCUGUGGAGCUUGGCUUGACUUAGCUGGUUGGAUCUCUUUGAUUGUUGUUUCCCCCAGUUUCUUCGGUUCAGUACAAUGGCCCGAAAGUCGCCGACGGUUAUCGAUUAAUCAUCAAAUUAAAAAUUACCACUGCCAAAGAGAGCGUGGAGCGUGUCCAAAACAACAUGAAACACCUCGAAAGGCAAUUGGAGCUGCUUUUUAUUUCCAUUCUGUUGUUCUUUUUGGCACUUAAAGUACGUUGGGUCAGCCAAUUUAAACAAUAUCUAGAAUUUCGUGGCUCGAGAGGGGCGGCAAGAAAAAUAAAAACCACACGAACUUCGAUUGGAAUUAAAAGUUUUCGGCAAUUGUCUGUCUCGAUUUGGGCAAUAAAAUGUGUGGCCAGCAUGGGCUGGGGGAAGAAACGUGUGUUAUAACUAGCUAUAAGGACUGAUAAUUGCCAGAAUGGGUCGUGGGAUUAGGUAACCAAAAUAAUACGAUGGGGAGUGCUUGAAAGCUUCAAAGAAGCGUGGAAAGAUUUUGCCUAAAUCGAUUUAUUUUCGACCAAGUUACGUGAGAUUGUUAAAAAUAAAGGUUGUCCAUGUUUUUACUUUCAAGGUUAAUAAAUUUCCGUGGAAAUGCCAAAAGGGAUAGAUAAUUCCCACAGUUUGUGGUCUAAUCUCAUUGUAACCUUAUCGGAUUGCCAAUAUGUGACUCUUUCUGAUUCUUUGAAGGUUACUGGGCUGACAAACCCCUUCCCAGAAAACAAAUCAAUUGACUCAACCGCUGAAUAGGCAAAGGAACAAAUACAUUUAAGUCGUAAAUUAAUUUAAAUAUUGUGAAGAGGAGCAAAUAUGCGAAUAUUCCUCUCCGAUUGCCUUUUUUUAAAGCAUUUUUUCCACUCGUAAAUAGAGCUUUGAAAGUGCCGACAACAAUUAAACUAAGAAAUAAGUAAUAAAACGAGGACAAUAUUUUAUUCCUCUAAAAUUUAGAGCCUCUAGUGGGAAAUCAAUCGACUCAAAACACAUUAAAUGAUUCAAUUUAUUCUCUGUGUAUCAUCUUACACUUCCCUCCAGCCCUCCGGCCCUCUAGGUCUGUGUCCCUUUUCCAUUCAAAUUAAUUAAAUCAGAUUUUUCCAAAAUUUCUUAUCACAAAUUUGUCAUCAGCUUGUAAGUGGAAAGAUGCGGCUCUGCCACAUGCUGCCGCUCUGUUCAUAAUGAAGUUAAACCCCCGAUACCGAUCGCGCGACGCCCAGACAAUUAAGAAGCCCCAGAAGAAUUGCAAGCGGAGAGAGCAGCUGCAGAGCAGUCUUCCGAUCAGCUGUUCAGCUCUCUUCGCCCGAAGAGACCCAAAGCCGAAGACUACCAUAUUGUAGCCGAAGUCGAGGGGCUUUUGGAGUCUCAAGCUUGAGUCUGUGAUCAGUUCGCUUUCAGCGUUCGCCGCGAUCACAACGUUCGCUAUAUAGAUCUAUAUAGGUAGAGUCGGGAUAGUAUGUCCCGAUCUCUCAGCCGAUCCCACGCUUUCGUCAAGUUUCGUCGACUGACCGUGAACUUGCAAACACAAUAGCCAGAGACAGAAUAAAGAACUUUAAACCGAUAUAUGCCACAUAAAUAUAUGUAUAUGUAUGCCAGUUAAAAAAUAACCUUCGUGUGCAAACAGAAACCAAACUGUUUAAAUAUUUUAA